UACGUAGGGUGCAAGCGUUGUCCGGAAUUAUUGGGCGUAAAGAGCUCGUAGGCGGCCUGUUACGUCUGCUGUGAAAUCCCGGGGCUUAACCCCGGGCGUGCAGUGGAUACGGGCAGGCUGGAGGCAGGCAGGGGAGAACGGAAUUCCCGGUGUAGCGGUGAAAUGCGCAGAUAUCAGGAGGAACACCGGUGGCGAAGGCGGGUCUCUGGGCCGAUAAUGACGCUGAGGAGCGAACGGG
rnacentral:rRNA from 1 species